AAGCAACAGCCAUGCCCUAAGGUUAUUGAAUGUGGUAUUUAUAUCUAAUAUUCCCUGAGCUACUAAAUUUCCAAAAUCAACCUCCGUCUUCACAGAGUAAACAAUAGAUGGCAUUACUUUGUAUACUGGUUUCUUUAUCCCAUGAUGUGUCUUCUGACUGAACCCAUUUUCCAGUUACCAGAGUUUUUCAACACCAGAAUCCUUGCAAUAUAACCUGACAGGGCUCCACUUGAACUUGAAAUACAAGCCACACUAAGCUUCCAGGUCUUUUUGUUAUUGUCAUUGUUGUUCAUGCUAAGACUGACUGUUCCAAGCUACUUCUGUGGACUUUGACUUAAAGAGAGGAGUGGGGAAUAUUCUGAAAUGCUAACUAACUUAAAAAUUUGAUAGAUUAAUUUCUAAAACAUAUACAAAGAUGUUGUAGAGACCAUACAACUGUUCCCUGGAAGGUUGGUACUAUUUAUUUCUUGUUGAAUGCUGUGUGAAGUUUGUGGAGUGUUUGAAUUCUGUCUCUAUCAUUUACUAAUAGAAUAUAUUUCAUCAAGUGUCUUAAAUAUUAUUAGCAUAUUUCUGGAUGUAUAAAAUGGGAAAGUAAUUGUCUCUAUUUCAAAAUUAUUGGAAGGAUUAGAUCUAAUGUGCUUAUAUCAUCUAUUUAAUAAAAAUACAUGUUCCCUUUAUUUUUUCAGAAGAAUAUGCCCUAGCUUUUUACAACAUCGACAGUAGUUCAGUUUCCGAGUGAGACAAAGCAAUUACUAGAAGAGUUGGAGAAGCAUUUCUUGUAACAAACUGAUUCUUCUGUAUCAAACCUGGAAAAAAAUCAUGAACCAUCUGACAUCGUGAACAGUCUGCAGUGGGCUAUGGUUUCUUGUCAAGUCUUAUUUCCUUAUCAUCCCAUUAAAUGUUGUCAUUUUG
rnacentral:lncRNA from 1 species